rnacentral:ribozyme from 1 species
UGCCCAAUAAUUCCUAUCCCUAUCUCCCCACGAUGCCGCCCAGAGUACGAGUAAUCAUCUUUCCGAUCUUUUCCAGUAAUCAACCCCGGUGAGACCUUGGUCGUAUGCUGACAAGAAAGG